ACUUAAAAAUAGGGGUAUGAAGCUCACCUUGAGUUAGUUGAUGAGUUAGUUGGAGUGAUGGGGUGAAGAUCUCAAGCCUAGACUCUUGGAUGAGUUGAGGAACUUCCUUAAGAGGAAUGUUGUCCUAAGAGUUUUUCUUACACACUAUUAUGGGAAUUUAUCUUGAAAACUAUAUAAAAUACUAGAUGAGUGGAAAAACUUACUUAAAAGCUCUACGAAAAACUUGAGAAGUUAAGCCUUUAGCAAGAUCCUUGUUCUUACUUUCGAGAGAAGUAUUGGAGAGAAAAUGACAGAAGUGGGAGAAAUGGUGAAGUUUAAAACUCUCCCACUGUCGUUGCUUUAAGGGGAUAAAGGAAAAAGAGGGGGUAGGUGCAUGGAAAUCUAUUGGUUCAAACAUUGUUAUUUGGUUGAUAUUGCAUGGAUUACUGUGAAUUGCAUGGGAAACGGAAGAUUACAUCAAAUCAUAAAGUCAAACCCUCUUAUCCCUUUAUAGUUUAAAUUAAUCCCUUUAUGAUUUUCAAAAAUUAUUUUUUGUAAAUAUGCUUUAAUUAUUCAAAUUUGGCAUAAAAUAGAGGUUUAAGGGGUCUAAGUUAUGAAAAACACGAGUUUGGUGGGAUUCCUGACGUCAAAAUACCUUAACAUGAAGAAAAGGUCUGAAAUGGUCUAAAAUCCGUAGCCAAAUAGUGAGUUCCGAAGACACUUGGUGAGUUCCGAAGUUCAUCUCAUGUUCCGGAGUGGGUUCAAGAGGUUUCGGAGUCAAUUCAAAAUUUCCAUAGUCAAUCCCUUAGUUCCAAAGUCGGCUCUUAUCCAAAAUCACUUCCUUCUGAGGCUGCAAGGGUUCCGAGUCUACAAGGCGUCUGGUCCGAAGUUGCGAAACCUUCCAGAGCGGGUUCGGUCCGGAGCAUGGGAGGCAUUCCGGAGUAAAACAAGAGGUUCCGAAAUAAGACUAUCCCGGAGCGAGAUUGUCCGGGUGGGAGGGUCCGAAGCUUCCUAAAGGUUCCGAACUGGGCUUGCUCUUUCAUGUUUUCUACUUUCGUUUUGAGUUGGUUUCGACUAAUAAAACUUCAUAGGACGAUUUGAGAGAGAUUUGGGAUACAUAGAGAGAUUUGGGAGAGAUUUGAGAUACAUAGAGAGAUUUAGGAAAGAUUUAAGAUACAUAGACGCCUUGCAUUAUAACAAUACACGGUUCAUUAGGAACUAUAAUGUAAAAUUUAACAUGUUAGUAUAAGCCUUAUAAUAGUUGAUGUUUACAUAAGGACAUAAUUUCCUAGCUAAAAAUACUAGUUGUGACAGUUGAGCGUACUGGAGUGGUACGCAGGGUGUAUGCACUCUUGUUGGGUUUGGGCUUUGUGUGGGCUUGUAAGCUUAUUGGGCCUUAUUCAUUUUUGGUCCCGGUCCCAUUUAGAGUUUUGGACAAAUUCUGAUUUGGGCCAUAGUUGUUUUAGUUGGGCCUUAUUGGGCCAUGUGGUCCAUUAAUGGCUUUUUAUCUUAGAUCUUAGGCCCAUUAGCAAAGGAAAGACUUUUGGUCCACUAUGGAAGGACUUAGGCUUAGGUGUUUAGACUCUUUGAUUAUGUUGUGUUAUAAUCCUAAUUUAGGGUUAGUUGUAUCAUUAUUCAGUGUGUGGUUUCAGAUUGUUAGGCGAACAGCUUUUGUGUUCAGCAGACUGAGGUGAGUCAUCUCACUACACUCAUGGGUCAAAGGCACCAAGGCCGGCCCAUUAAUUGAUAUGAGAUGAUUAGUAAUGGAGUAUGAAAUGGUUUGCUAUUUGAUCUAUAUAUGGACUUCUGUGAAGACCAUGAGAAGAGUCCAUGUCACUUGGCAAGACCAUGGGAGGAGCCCAUGGCUCGGGGAUACAAGACCAUGGGGGUAGCCCAUGACGUUCCAAAUGAAGACCAGGAAGGGAGUCCAUGGCAAACUUAUAUGUACUUCUAAUUCUAAGGGCAAGAGUCUGGCUUGAUAGCGUGGUGUGCAUUCUCCAGUAUUUUUGCAUUUAGUUUUGAUACUCUGAUCUUUUAAAAAACUAUGGUCAUGUAAUGGGAUUUUUGGAAACAAUUGUGGUUGGUAUGUUUGAUUAUGAGAGUUAAAAUUUUCUGUAAAAUUUGGGCUGUUACACUAUGUGUAUUAUUUAUAUAAGAAAUUUUAUAUAAAGGUAUAAGUUAUUAUAUAAA